AGUGAACGCUGGCGGUAGGCCUAACACAUGCAAGUCGAACGGCAGCACAGUAAGAGCUUGCUCGUACGGGUGGCGAGUGGCGGACGGGUGAGGAAUACAUCGGAAUCUACUUUUUCGUGGGGGAUAACGUAGGGAAACUUACGCUAAUACCGCAUACGACCUACGGGUGAAAGCAUGGGAUCUUCGGACCUUGCGCGAUUGAAGGAGCCGAUGUCGGAUUAGCUAGUUGGCGGGGUAAAGGGCCACCAAGGCGACGAUCCGUAGCUGGUCUGAGAGGAUGAUCAGCCACACUGGAACUGAGACACGGCCCAGACUCCUACGGGAGGCAGCAGUGGGGAAUAUUGGACAACGGGCGCAAGCCUGAUCCAGCAAUACCGCGUGGGUGAAGAAGGCCUUCGGGUUGUAAAGCCCUUUUGUUGGGAAAGAAAAGCAGCAGGUUAAUACCCCGCUGUUCUGACGGUACCCAAAGAAUAAGCACCGGCUAACUUCGUG
rnacentral:rRNA from 1 species